rnacentral:rRNA from 1 species
UAUUGCACAAUGGGGGAAACCCUGAUGCAGCGACGCCGCGUGAAGGAAGAAGUAUUUCGGUAUGUAAACUUCUAUCAGCAGGGAAGAAAAUGACGGUACCUGACUAAGAAGCCCCGGCUAACUACGUGCCAGCAGCCGCGGUAAUACGUAGGGGGCAAGCGUUAUCCGGAUUUACUGGGUGUAAAGGGAGCGUAGGCGGUUCAGCAAGUCAGAAGUGAAAGCCCGGGGCUCAACUCCGGGACUGCUUUGGAAACUGUAAAACUGGAGUGCAGGAGAGGCAGGCGGAAUUCCUAGUGUAGCGGUGAAAUGCGUAGAUAUUAGGAGGAACACCAGUGGCGAAGGCGGCCUGCUGGACUGUAACUGACGUUGAGGCUCGAAGGCGUGGGGAGCAAACAGG